GGCUUCACAUCAGUCUUGGUCUUUCAUCUCAGCUCAGUCUCAAAUAUUGUCUCGACACUAUUUGAUCUUUGUUUUGAUGUGGUCUUGAUCUUUGCCUCGGCUCAAUUGGAUCUUUGCCUCGGUUCGGCCUCGACUUUUGUCUCGGUUCGAUUUGAUCUUCAUCUCGGAUCGGUUUGAUCUUUAUCUUUGUUCGGUCUUGGUCUUCAUCUCAAAUCAGUUUGAUCUUUAUCUUGGCUUGAUCUUGAUCUUUGUCUUAGCUCGGCCUUGAUUUUCAUCUCUGAUCGGUUUGAUCUUCACCUUAGUUCGAUCUUAAUCUUCACGUCAGACCGAUUUGAUCUUCACCUCAGUUCGAUCUUGAUCUCCACCUCGGAUCGGCCUUAAUUCUCAUCUCGAAUUGGUUUGAUCUUCACUUGGUUCGGCCUUGAUCUUCACCUUGGAUCGGUUUGAUCUUUACCUUGGUUCGGUCUUGAUCUUCACCUCGGAUCGAUUUGAUCUUCACCUCGGACUGAUUUGAUCUUCACCUCGAUUCGGUCUCGAUCUUCAUCUCGAAUCUGUCUUGAUCUUCACCUUGGAUCGUUCUUGAUCUUUAUCUCGGAUCUGUUUGAUUUUUACCUUGAUUUGGCCUUGAUCUUCAUCUCAGAUCAGUCUGAUCGUUACCUCGGCUUGGUCUUGAUUUUUGCUUCAGAUCGGUUUGAUCUUCAUCUUGGUUCAGCCUUGUUGUUCACCUCGGCUCGACCUUAUUCUUCGUCUCGGAUUGGUUUGAUUUUCGUCUC
rnacentral:lncRNA from 1 species